UCAAGUCACUGGCCUCUUUUUUUUUUUUUUUAAAGGAUGGUGGCUGGCCUAGAACUUUCUAUAUAGAACAGGCUGGCCUUGAACUCACAAACAUCUGAAUGUUUCUACCUCCCAAGUGCUGGGAUUAAAGGAGUGCACCACCACUACUCACUAGCCUUUAUUGUUUUUAUUUUUACUUUAUUUACUUUGUCUGUCUGCAUGUGUGUCAUAGUGUGGAGGUCAGAGAGCAACUUAUGGGUGCUGUUUCUUUCCUCUUACCAAGUAGGUUCUGUGGAUUGAGCUGAAGUUGUCAAGAUGGGUGACAAGACCCUUACCUGAUGAGCCUACUCUAUGGUUCUUCUUUUUCUACUUUUAGCCUGAGGCAAGAAGAUUGCCACGAGUUUCAGGCCAAUGUUGACUAUAGUAUAAACCUUGUCUCAAAAAGCUGAAACCCAACCCAACAAUCAGCAUGUAGCCCUCUCCUCCCCAAGCCUCAGAGCUGUGGCGUGCACAUACACUGUCUUAAGUUCAGAGCUGUGGCGUGCACAUACACUGUCUUAAGUUCUCAGAGCUGUGGAGUGCACAUACACUGUCUUAAGUUCUCAGAGCUGUGGAGUGCACAUACACUGUCUUAAGUUCUCAGAGCUGUGGAGUGCACAUACACUGUUUUAAUUUCUCAGAGCUGUGGCGUGCACAUACACUGUCUUAAGUUCUUUGAGAGUGUGGGCUGUAUCUGGCUUCUUCUGCCACUGUGUCCGUAGCACUUUGUGUAGUUCCCAUUAUUUAGUAGACAUUUGUGGGGGUGUGUAGCAGAGUAACACCCGGAGAAAGGCAAGACUGACUUAACUAACAUGACUUAGUUAGCCAGUGCUGCUUCAGAAUUGUGGAAUCUGACUUGGGUAGUUUAUUUUAAUCAUAUUUAAGUAUAGCACAAUUUUGGAAAAAAGCUUCUCGAUGAAAAUUAUCUCAGUCCUACGUGUACAACAAAGCUUAAGACAUGUUUUGGGUUUUUUGUUUUGUUUUGUUUUUUGUUUUUUGUUUUUUUGGUUUUUUUUUGGUUUUUCGAGACAGGGUUUCUCUGUAUAGCCCUGGCUGUCCUGGAACUCACUUUGUAGACCAGGUUGGCCUUGAACUCAGAAAUCUGCCUGCCUCUGCCUCUGGGAUUAAAGGCGUGCGCCACCACCCCCGGCUUAUAUUGACCUCUUCUAUAAAGAUGGGUUCUGCUUACUCAGAAACAAUGCUCAAAAUAAGUGUCUAGGGAGAAUGCCUGAGGUAAAUGUAAUAGCCUGUAGGGGUCAGGAUUGGCCCGGCCACAAGGUAAUAUAGACAUUGCCCAGGCUGUUGUAAAGUACAGGCGACGUCUUCCAUAAGGAUGGUUUAUUGACUGAGAAGCAGUGCUCAAGAUCUAGAGAGCAAGAGUCCAGGAUAGACAAACAUUAUAGUCUUGGUGACUUGGGUGAAGCCCCAACUUACAGGGGGCUAGCAAGAUGGCUCAGUGGUUAAGAGCACUGGCUGCCCUUCUAGAGGUCCUGGAACCACAUGAUGGCUCACAACCCUCUGUAAUAGGAUCUGAUUCUUUUAUGGUGUGCAAAUGAACAUGCAGACAGAACACUCAAAUACAUAAAUACAUAAAUCUUAAAAAAAGACUGGCCCUACAGAUAGCAGAGAUCAUCAGUAUUGUACUGCUGCGGACAGACACCGUGACCAAGGCAAGUCUUAUAAAGGAAACAUUUAAUUGGCGCUGGCUUACAGAUUCAGAGGUUUAGUCUACUUGUCAUCAUGGCAGGGAGCAUGGUAGCAUGCAGGCAGAAACGGUAUUGAAGUACUUGACAGUUCUAUGUCUAGAUCUGAAGGCAGCAAGAAGAGAGACUGGGCUUGGCAUGGGUUUCUGAAACCUCAGAACUCACCCCACAGUGACACACUUGGAGGAAGUGUUUCCUCCAACAAGGCCAUAUCUCUGAAUCCUUUCAAAUAGUGCCACUCCCUGGUGACCAGUAUUCAAAUCUAUGAGCCUUUCUAUGGAGCCUUUCUUAUUCAAGCCACCUCACCAGGUUAUUAACUAUGUACUUCCCCAGUCUUCCAGUGUAAAGCAGGUGUGUGCACCCACUCCUCUUUCCUGAUUUUCCUAGUGCUUAUCUGUGAGCACAAGGACUUCGUGCCCUCUAUAGAUGUCCAGAGCAUUAAUUUGAAUGAGUUUUAAGUGAGACAGACCAUCUUGGAUUUAUUGUCUAUAUAUGUGUGUGUGUGUGUGUGUGUGUGUAUACACCUAUACUAAUCACAUACCAUUAGUUGAUCUUUGUAAUGUGCUUUUUAUAUGACUAGUUCAUCACCCAUCUAAAUACUGACCUAAGCCCUGUAUAAUUAGAAUUUUAACCAGUCUAUAGAUUCAGGCCUGAGUUACUUAGCCUUUCACAAGUCCCAGUGGAUCAUCUGUCAUGUGUUACAAAUGCACAGUAUAAGGCAUAUAACCCCUCCCCCACAUCAUGGUGCUGUUAGAAAACCUGAGUGGGAACAGCACAGGAUUUUGCUGUUAUAGGAUAAUCAACCUGGUAUGGGCUUAGAUACUGCUUUAUGGGGCUUAUAAAACAUUGCCAUUUUAAUUUUAGUUAUAAAUUCCUUUUUUCUUCUUCCCUAUUUCCCCUUCUUUUCUUCUCAUUGAUUUUCUUUUCUGGGGAAGGGCCUUGUAGCCCAGAUACACAGGGCUCACACUGUGAUUCUCCUUUAGAGUCCCAGGUUUGCGGCAUGUACUACCAUACUUGUCUUAGAAAGGGUCUUUAAGGGAUUGUUUGGAUUUAACUUAGUAAAUAAAGAUGGUCUGAGGUACUUAAGCACCGAAUUAUAUCUGUAAUAUGAACCUUGAGUGUAUUGGGAAUACUGAGAAAAAUGUUUAUAUAGAGAUGGCUUCUGCUUCUGCUCAAAGACAGAAAUUGCCUCUAUUCUCCAUGACAAAUAAAAAAAUAAAAAAUAAUCAAUUUAUUUACAUUUUAGGGUUUUUUUUUUGUUAUUUUUAAGUAGUAUUUUAGGCUAAGUUUCUUGAUAUUGACUGUUACAUAGAUUUGGGUAUUUUGUUUUGAGACAGGGUCAGUCUCUAUGUAGCCCUGGCUUUUCUGGAACUCCUUAUGUAGACCAGGGUAGCCUUAAACACACAAAGAUUCUCUUGCCUCUGCCUGAGAAUAAAGAUGUUACACAACCAUACCCAUCCCAGAUGUGUUGAUUUUUAAUAACUAAGGUAUUUUAUGGACAAAGAAGUAGGAGAAGAAAAAACAAAACAAAAAACAAAACCUGAAAAC
rnacentral:lncRNA from 1 species